UAAAAGAGAGAGGAGCUUCCUGUCUCUUGUUCUUUUCUUCGCUCCCUCUUGACACCCACACACACUGCAUACCAGCACACCACGUGGCAGCCACAAGGCAGAGACACCAUCACAUUGCUCUGGGCAGCUCCUGCUCCCUCUCCCAGCUCAGCUCAGCUCUAAUAGGAGAAGACUGGAGGGAGCUGGAGGAAAGGCUCCACCUGUUUAUCUUCACCAUAGCUGCUGCAAAGAUCAGUAAUAACAGGAAGCCAGCCAGGAGUCUGCCUCUCCAGCUCGAAGGUGCUGAUCACCAAAGCCAGCGUGGAGCCCUUAAACUGCACUAGUUGGUGGCAGGCCAUAGAGUGCUGCAGUUGUUUGGUCAAGAAUGCGACCUGGCGAGAAGGAUUCCUCUGAGGCAGCCCUCUGGGCUCAGUUGGACAUCACCAUGGCAUGGAACUGGAGAGAAGAUAAAGUAGAGAGAGAUAGAUAUAAAUAUAUAUAUAUAUAUAUAUAUAUAUAUAUAUAUAUAUAUAUAUAUAUAUAUAUAAAGAAGCAGAGGUCAGUCAACUUUGUCUGUUUUCCUGUGUUCUCAACCAGAGAGACCUCUGGGAGACCCUAAAGGGUUUCCUCCCUUCUCCCUUUUUACUUUGUGCUUUGUGUUUCUGCUUGCCAAGCACUCAGCUGGUUUGGGUUGGGGCUUUUGGUUUUGGUGGGGAUGGGUGGUUGGGUUCUUUUUUGAGCUGAGGAAUGUACAAGGUCUGUGUUUCCUGACAACUUCUGCAGUUUCUAGGUUACCCAGGUUGCUGUCCAGGAGAAGUCACUUGUGGCCAGCAGGGAUGAGUAGAGGAAAACCAGGAGUAAGGACUGCACUCUGCAUUUCCUGAGGAAACAAGCACCUAAGCCAGGCAGUUGUCACAAUCAGCAGCCUAAGCUGGCCAAAUGUUUGCACAUAACCUUAAUAAAAAAGGCCCCCAGGAUGGAUGUCUUUUGCCUUACCAGCACAUGAAGACAACAAAUGGAAUCCUAUUUCUCUUGAGUGUGAACUGAGUGCCAGGUGGGGGUUGUCUAAAAGGAGGGGGAACAGUCAGCAGCAGGACGAGGAGGAAAAUGGUUUCAGAAGAAAAACCAAGCCCCUAAACCUGUCUGUGUGUGUGAAAUGUAGCAAAGCUCUGACAGCUUUCUCUGUACAGCAUCCAUAGGAUGGAGAGAGUUAGAAGUAUUUUUACAAGUGUCUAUUUCAUUAGUAGCAGAGUAGAGGUGUGAGUGAGGGGGAGCCUUUGGAAUGCCCAUUGGGGAUCUCCUCUAAAGGUGAGCAGUGAAUUCUGCUUUAUUUUUGAGCACAGUGAAUGGUUUCAAAGAGCAGAAAGGGUUCAAGAUCCAUUUCCAGUGCAAUCACUGCAAGAGUCUUUAAAGUGCAGGUAGGGUAGAAGAGGUUGGUUGGAACUCAGCUGCAUGGAGUUGUGCAGUGUGGGGAUCUUUUUCAUGUCCAUUUUAGUUCUCCUCUGAAGGUGGCAGUGAAUUCUUUUGGGGUUUGAGCAAAAUGAAAGGUUUUAAGUGGCAGAAAAUGUAAAAAUUCAACUUAAAAAGAAGUUUCUGCAAUAGGUUGGAAGAGGUUGUUUGGGAAGGGUUGUUUGGAACCCAACUGCACAGAGUUGUGAGUUAAGGGAACCUUUUGCAUGUCCACUUCAGUUUUUCUUUAAAGAUGGGAGUAAAUUUUGCUUCUGAGCAGAACAAACUGAUUUCAGUAGUAGAAAAAGCUUUAAGUUAAAUUAGCCACUGAAGCAUUCUUUAAAAUGCAGAUGGGUUACAAGUGGUUGUUUGGAACUCAGCUGCUUAGAAUUGUGAGUUAAGGGAACCUUUGGCAUGUCCACUUCAGUUCUCCUCUAAAGAUGGGAGUAAACUUUGGUUCUGAGCAGGACAAAAAGAUUUGAAUAGUAGAAAAGGUUUAAGUUAAAUUAAUCACUGAAAGGUUCUUUAAAAUGCAGGUGGGUCACAAGAGGUUGUUUGGGAAGGGUUGUUUGGAACUCUGCUGCAUAGAGUUGUCAGUUAAGGGAACCUCUUUAAUAUCCACUUCUCCUGCAAAGAUGGGAGUAAUUUUUUUUUUCCUGAACAAAAGGAUUUAAGGAAUAGAAUCUUUUGUUAAUUCCCUGACAAAGAAGUCACUGUAACAUUCUGUGAAAUGCAGAUGGCUUAGAAGAGGCUGUUUGGGAAGGAUGUGUGUGUGUGUGUGUGUGUGCAUCUCUGUUUUCUAGCCUGAUUGGCUAAGGAGCUGUUUUCUUUUAAAGAGACAUAAAUCCACAACAAGUAGUGCUUACAGUGCUGAAGAGAUCCAUUGGUGUUGCUGUGUACAGAUCCCAGUGGAGCUUAUCUAGCUUAAUUCUUUCCAUUCUCAAGAUCUCAGCUGGAGAGCAUUUACAACCACUCUGCACUGCAGCAUCUCCACCGAUGGCAUCACCUGUAGAAAAAACAUCUAUGACAGAAACUAAUAAAGCAGCCAACGUCCUA